CCUACGGGCGGCAGCAGUGAGGAAUAUUGGUCAAUGGACGAGAGUCUGAACCAGCCAAGUAGCGUGAAGGAUGACUGCCCUAUGGGUUGUAAACUUCUUUUAUAUGGGAAUAAAAUGUUCCACGUGUGGGAUUUUGUAUGUACCAUAUGAAUAAGGAUCGGCUAACUCCGUGCCAGCAGCCGCGGUAAUACGGAGGAUCCGAGCGUUAUCCGGAUUUAUUGGGUUUAAAGGGAGCGUAAGUGGAUUGUUAAGUCAGUUGUGAAAGUUUGCGGCUCAACCGUAAAAUUGCAGUUGAAACUGGCAGUCUUGAGUACAGUAGAGGUGGGCGGAAUUCGUGGUGUAGCGGUGAAAUGCUUAGAUAUCACGAAGAACUCCGAUUGCGAAGGCAGUUCACUGGACUGCAACUGACACUGAGGCUCGAAAGUGUGGGUAUCAAACAGGAUUAGAUACCCGGGUAGUC
rnacentral:rRNA from 1 species